rnacentral:rRNA from 1 species
GGCCACUGCUAUCGGGUUCCGACUAAGCCAUGCGAGUCAUGGGGUCGUAAGACACCGGCGCACGGCUCAGUAACACGCGGAUAAUCUAUCCUCUGGUGGGGGAUAACCUCGGGAAACUGAGGCUAAUACCCCAUAGAUAUUCAAUGCUGGAAGGCUUGGAUAUUGAAAGCGCAAGCGCCAGAGGGUGAGUCUGCGGCCUAUCAGGUAGUAGGUGGUGUAACGGACCACCUAGCCUAAGACGGGUACGGGCCUUGAGAGAGGGAGCCCGGAGAUGGGUUCUGAGACACGAACCCAGGCCCUACGGGGCGCAGCAGGCGCGAAACCUUCGCACUGCGCGAAAGCGCGACGAGGGGAACCCGAGUGCCUCUCCAUUUCGGGGAGGCUUUUCACAAGCCUAAAAAGCUUGUGGAAUAAGGGCUGGGCAAGACGGGUGCCAGCCGCCGCGGUAAUACCCGCAGCUCGAGUGGUGGUCGCUUUUAUUGAGCCUAAAACGUUCGUAGUCGGCCUUGUAAAUCCCUGGGUAAAUUGGGCCGCUUAACGGUUCAAAUUCCGGGGAGACUG